GAAAGUUUUAUGCAAAAAUAUAUGUAGUUGUGUCAUUGGUUAAGCAUUAGAAUAGGUUUAUUCUCAACAAUUAAAAAAGUGAACUAAACAAGCAAAAUUUUAGCAGUCCGGAUAAGAAAUAAGAAUACAAUUUUUCAAACAAAAUGUUUCAGAAAUCAGAAAAAAAAAAUUUUCGAAUCAAUUUUAACUACUUCCCAAUAACAUUUAUAAUCUUUCAGAUUGGAACUUGCAUCCUUUCAUGCAUUUUUAUUUCUCUGUUACUCUUUUCAAUCAAUGGAGUUACUUAUAUUGGGAGCGCCGACAUGGAAACAUCCACGAAUAACCAAUCAAAAAACGAAAAACCAUUUUGCAUCAAUAAUUUACUCGACAAAACUAAAUAUAAUUUCGAAAAAUGG